AGUACCAAAUCCAUCACCAUUAUUUUACAAUCUUAAAUUUCGCACCAGUUCUUGAGUGUUUCUACCUAAAAUUUAAAAAAUGACAAUUGGAUGAUGAAAAAUGUAUACUUUGUACCACUAAUGUUUCCUUGUUUAAUUUACAUAGCCGUGGUCUUCAGACGUAAAUAUAAAAUUAAAACUUUAACCAUGUUUUAGGAUAAGAUAAUAAUCAAUAUCCAAACGAUUUGUUUAGUAUGGAUUUCAACAUGAAUUCCACUUUUGUCCCGCUACUGAGAUACUUUGGUUUUCCAUUACGCGUUGGCUUCUCUUUCAUAAUGUGUUUCUAUAACUAACCAAAAUUAAUGUCAAUUAUGCUAGAUAACAUUUUGAUUUCAAGAAGUAACAGCCAAGAAACAAAAAUGGGGAUAAAAAGCCUGAUUGGUUUCUUAAAAGAGAUUACGCGACGAGAGAUUUUUAAAUUCCAGUGAGAAAAUGACAAAUAAUCUUUUACAGAAAAAACAAGAGGCAUGAGCUUUAAUAUUUGUUCACGCGUAUAGAUCACUCUUCGAGCUCUCAUCCUCUCUCUUCCUCUCUCUUCGAGCUCUCAUCUUCUCUCUUCCUCUCUCUUCGAGCUCUCAUCCUCCACGGCCCCGUGUUAAUGCUUUAAUCUGUAACUCUCUUUCCAUUCAGAGGUUACUACUAUUAACUCCAUUCUCGGCUUUCUUCGAAGCGUUGAGCUAAGGGACUUGAGGACUGAAGACAGAAUCACUGCAUUGGCAGAGGAGAUCAAGGCAAGAUAUGAUAAAGCAGCUGUCAAAGUUGUUGACCUGAUUCUUACACUUCUACAAUUUGGAGGAUAUACACUAGUGCAAAAUUCAAUUGAUCUGUAUCGAAGCUUUGGGUUUGAU